GAUGAACGCUGGCGGCGUGCCUAAUACAUGCAAGUCGAGCGAACGGACGAGAAGCUUGCUUCUCUGAUGUUAGCGGCGGACGGGUGAGUAACACGUGGAUAACCUACCUAUAAGACUGGGAUAACUUCGGGAAACCGUAGCUAACACCGGAUAAUAUUUUGAACCGCAUGGUUCAAAAGUGAAAGACGGUCUUGCUGUCACUUAUAGAUGGAUCCGCGCUGCAUUAGCUAGUUGGUAAGGUAACGGCUUACCAAGGCAACGAUGCAUAGCCGACCUGAGAGGGUGAUCGGCCACACUGGAACUGAGACACGGUCCAGACUCCUACGGGAGGCAGCAGUAGGGAAUCUUCCGCAAUGGGCGAAAGCCUGACGGAGCAACGCCGCGUGAGUGAUGAAGGUCUUCGGAUCGUAAAACUCUGUUAUUAGGGAAGAACAUAUGUGUAAGUAACUGUGCACAUCUUGACGGUACCUAAUCAGAAAGCCACGGCUAACUACGUGCCAGCAGCCGCGGUAAUACGUAGGUGGCAAGCGUUAUCCGGAAUUAUUGGGCGUAAAGCGCGCGUAGGCGGUUUUUUAAGUCUGAUGUGAAAGCCCACGGCUCAACCGUGGAGGGUCAUUGGAAACUGGAAAACUUGAGUGCAGAAGAGGAAAGUGGAAUUCCAUGUGUAGCGGUGAAAUGCGCAGAGAUAUGGAGGAACACCAGUGGCGAAGGCGACUUUCUGGUCUGUAACUGACGCUGAUGUGCGAAAGCGUGGGGAUCAAACAGGAUUAGAUACCCUGGUAGUCCACGCCGUAAACGAUGAGUGCUAAGUGUUAGGGGGUUUCCGCCCCUUAGUGCUGCAGCUAACGCAUUAAGCACUCCGCCUGGGGAGUACGACCGCAAGGUUGAAACUCAAAGGAAUUGACGGGGACCCGCACAAGCGGUGGAGCAUGUGGUUUAAUUCGAAGCAACGCGAAGAACCUUACCAAAUCUUGACAUCCUUUGACAACUCUAGAGAUAGAGCUUUCCCCUUCGGGGGACAAAGUGACAGGUGGUGCAUGGUUGUCGUCAGCUCGUGUCGUGAGAUGUUGGGUUAAGUCCCGCAACGAGCGCAACCCUUAAGCUUAGUUGCCAUCAUUAAGUUGGGCACUCUAAGUUGACUGCCGGUGACAAACCGGAGGAAGGUGGGGAUGACGUCAAAUCAUCAUGCCCCUUAUGAUUUGGGCUACACACGUGCUACAAUGGACAAUACAAAGGGCAGCGAAACCGUGAGGUCAAGCAAAUCCCAUAAAGUUGUUCUCAGUUCGGAUUGUAGUCUGCAACUCGACUACAUGAAGCUGGAAUCGCUAGUAAUCGUAGAUCAGCAUGCUACGGUGAAUACGUUCCCGGGUCU
rnacentral:rRNA from 1 species